rnacentral:tRNA from 1 species
GACGAGGUGGCAGAGCAGUGCGACCGGUUUAGGCCCGGCAUAGGGUGAUGCUAUCACCUCUCGUUG